rnacentral:lncRNA from 1 species
AUGACGCAGAAAGGUGCAGUUCUCAGCAGUGGAACUGGAAACGGUGGAGAGGGGGCAGCAGAGGAGGCGACACCAGAGGUGGACAGCCUCCACGCUGUCACUGAAAGAAGGACACAGACCACUUCCAAGGAGUUGUCUUCUCCAGGCUACAAGACCAGGCUCCUGGUUUCAGCGACAAGGAUGAGGGAUAGUCCCAGUGCAGAGCAGCUUCUGCCCUGGGUAGGCAAAGAAAUGAGACCUGCGGUUUGUCACCCUCCUGGGCUCAGGGAAGCCUAUAGCCUUACCUCCUGGUCCUAACGGGGACACCUGCACAGUGGGAUGUGAUUCUGCUCCGCAAGAUGGCAGAAAUCCCACCAGUGCUACUUUAAUGAGAAUGAAAUGGCAAGCUGCUGACUCAUCGCUUAUAUUAAAUAUUUUAAAACAGUUGACUGUGUGAGCUAAUCCUGCUAUAUUACGUGUGGGAAAACUGGAGGUAUGUGAGCAUACAGCAGUUAUGCAUUUGAACUUACCAGCCCCUGCAUCAGGCAAAGAACAGAAAGUACAGAGUUCAUCUCCUGAAGCCCUAGAGUUUGUUAUUAUUGCUGGGUUUUAAUGUUCUCUGUGGUCAGAUAAUGGCCUAAAUGUUCAAAAGUGACUAGAAAUGUUUGAUGUCCCAUUGCCUCAGUACUCAGUGUGAGAAUUCUUGAUAUGUGCUGGUUUUCAAAAAAAAGCACUGAGGUGUGUCUUCAGCAUUGGAUCAAAGAGGAACGCUUCGGUCUGAGUACCAUAACAUUAAUUCACCCUAAAUCACCAGUAACGCCUGCACUUUUAAUUUAUAGUUCAUCUGUUCAUGAACCCAGGUAUGUAUAAAAGAAGGCACUAUCCAAAUUCACUGCUGUGAAUUCACUGCACGCUGCUCCACCCUGAGACAUGCCACAUGGCAGGCUGGGAGGUGUUGAUGCUGAGGGCUGUCAUGACAAGCAGCACCUGGAUAAGCUGCUCUGUGGAAACAAAACACAGACACAGGUUAACCUGCCAUUUGAAAAGGGGGAAAAUGGGUGAAAUCCUGGGAAACAUAUUUAGAUGGAAUUGAUCCAUCUCCAGCCUCUUCUUCAGGCUGUGAGCUCAGGUCUCUGGGUUUGUUUCCAAAGGAGAUCCCCAGCAAAAGGAUGGGUAUGGUGAGUGUAGAUCACAAGCCUUUAUAUACACUGCUGUUUUUUUUUUUUUCUUUUUUUUUUUUUUUCCUGGAGGUUUGAGCUAUCACCUUCAGAUCAACAAUGCCUUAGUAUAACUGAGAAAGCUUAAAUCAUGACCAUGCAAGAGGACUGCAGCUUUGCUUGUAAAUGGGAAGGAGACAGAUGUCUUUUAUUAAUUUCAACACCAGCUUCGCUGAAACGGAUGCAAGAACUAGAGAAAGGCUUGAAAUAUUCUUUGAGAGGUUUCCCCUUUGAGGAUGAAGCUUAACAAUUAGCAGGGCUGUGGCUUUCACAUUUUAGGCAGAGAUUUUCAGGGGUAUUUAAUGGACUUUAGCAGCCAAGCCUUUCAAUCUGCUGGAUGCUAGGCAAUAGGACUCAUUUAACCUCCCCUGUCCAGGUGCAAGUAAGAGAGCAAAUACACGUUGGAAUAGUGCCUGUUGCAUUCCUCUUAGGCAACAUAAAGAUAGCAAUAAAUAAAAGUCCUAUGCUAAUGAAUCA